UAAAUGUUUCAUUCACAGUAACAUCAAACUGGUCAUUUGCAUGACUUCUCAUUCAGUUGAAUACAUUUGUCUAUUAAACUGUAUGGUUAAUUAGUUAAUCAUUUAGUGCAUUUAUAGAUAUCUAGAUAUAGAUUCAGUAGAUAUAGUUUCUAAAGAACUUGUUUGCAAUUCAAGGAUAACCAAAUGUAAUGAAUUAGGCCUAUUUUUUGCACUAUAAGUGAUUUAUCUUAGAUGAUAACCACUAUUGUGUGUGUUUGUGUGUGUGUGUGUGUGUGUGUGUGUGUGUGUGUGUGUGUGUGAGUGUGAGUGAGUGAGUGAGAGAGAGAGAGUAUGUGUGUCUGUGUUUAUACAUGUUGCUCUGCCAAUAUUCCAAGAAAUGUGUUUAAAAAUGUUUUUUUUGUUUGUUUGUUUUUUUUUUUUUACCAAAAAAGUAAAAUCACAUUUUCCUUAAAGUAAAGAGACAGCUUGUGAUUUCUGCCCUUCAUUGUCUUUUGUUUUUGCUGAAAUCUCCUGCUCUCCUCUCCUCGUUCCCAACUCAUUUUCAUCACACAGGCUUUAUUCAGUGUUACAGAAAUGCACUGAAGUUUGUGUGCGUCUUUCUAGCAUCUCUAGAGGACAGAGAGCUGUACAGAAAUAUCUGCACAUGUGGCCUUGUUUGUCAAAGUACUAUAGCAACAUCACAACAAACAGCAGAGCAGCUUCAAACAAAGUGAAGAUAUUCUAGAAUUUAGAAGGAAAUGUUCAUCUGUCUGUCUGUCAGUCACAUUAGUGACGCCUUCAUCACGGUGAGUUUAAUCCGGUCCGUGCUCGUCUCCAGACUGAUGUUUUUGGAUUUAUAUGAGAGGCUUAUUCAAAUUUCAUACAGCAGCCUGAGAAUAAAGGCUGGCAGGAGAAGCGCGGACGGAUGGGAGAGGAUGAGGACGCCGUGUCGUUUGCAUUAAACAGACGCUAAUUAGUGCGCUAACGGCUGGAGCUGCUACAUUCACAUCCACUGGUCCGUGAGCGUCUUUCUGGCCCAAACACAAACUGGACAAAACCGGCUUUUAUCAUCAUUUUGUGCAACUCUGGAGUUCUGUUCAUGUCACUGGAUCGGCAAAAGAAGGCCAAAUGAUCGUAAAAACAGAUGAAAUGUAGUACAAACUGUUUUACAUCUUAAAAUCCUCCAAAGAUGGUUCUUUAACAACGCCAUUUUUGGAGGCAGAUUACAAAUCGGAUUACAGCCCGUUAAAAACACAGAGGAAACUCCAGAGCAAUCCUGAGCUGUUAGAGCUGAGAUCAGAAGCGUUUUCAUGUUUUCACGCCUGUGACAGAAGCCACAACAAACACUGCAGACACUACAGGAACGGGUUUAAAGCCUGAGCUGAAUUAACUCUAUCUGUUAGAGUUACAGUGUUGUUCAUUAGAAUUCAGAUUGAAUGUAUUCCUGAGUUGAUGACUGAAGCUCAUGAUGACAGUGUGACGGUGAACACUAACAUAGGCCUGAACCGGAUUUUUACAUUUCACAGUACACACAAAACUGGUCAUUACAGACACAUACUUUUGUCUUGUGACAUUAAUUUUAUUUGCAUACUAGAGAAAUCAUGAUUAAUAUUAUCUAUGAAUAUUUUACAAUACUAUAUAUCUUACAGUCAGUUCAC
ensembl:lncRNA